UUAUACGGCGAAACUGCGAAUGGCUCAUUAAAUCAGUUAUCGUUUAUUUGAUAGCCCCUUACUACUUGGAUAACCGUGGUAAUUCUAGAGCUAAUACAUGCUGAAAACCCCGACUUCGGAAGGGAUGUAUUUAUUAGAUUAAAAACCAAUGCCCCUCGGGCUCACUGGUGAUUCAUGAUAACUUAUCGAAUCGCACGGCCUUGCGCCGGCGAUGGCUCAUUCAAAUUUCUGCCCUAUCAACUUUCGACGGCUGGAUCUGGGGCCGCCAUGGUGACAACGGGUAACGGAGGGUUAGGGCUCGGCCCCGGAGAAGGAGCCUGAGAAACGGCUACUACAUCCAAGGAAGGCAGCAGGCGCGCAAAUUACCCAAUCCCGACUCGGGGAGGUAGUGACAAUAAAUACUGAUACAGGGCUCUUUUGGGUCUUGUAAUUGGGAUGAGUACAAUUUAAUUCCCUUAACGAGGAACAAUUGGAGGGCAAGUCUGGUGCCAGCAGCCGCGGUAAUUCCAGCUCCAAUAGCGUAUAUUAAAGUUGUUGCAGUUAAAAAGCUCGUAGUUGAACCUUGGGCCUGGCUGGCCGGUCCGCCUCACCGCGUGCACUGGUCCGGCCGGGUCUUUCCCUCUGGGGAGCCGCAUGCCCUUCACUGGGCGUGUCGGGGAACCAGGACAUUUACUUUGAAAAAAUUAGAGUGUUCAAAGCAGGCUUAUGCUCGAAUACAUUAGCAUGGAAUAAUAGAAUAGGACGCGCGGUUCUAUUUUGUUGGUUUCUAGGACCGCCGUAAUGAUUAAUAGGGACAGUCGGGGGCAUCAGUAUUCAAUAGUCAGAGGUGAAA
rnacentral:rRNA from 1 species